rnacentral:rRNA from 1 species
AGUUUGAUCCUGGCUCAGAACGAACGCUGGCGGCAGGCUUAACACAUGCAAGUCGAACGCAUCGCAAGAUGAGUGGCAGACGGGUGAGUAACGCGUGGGAAUCUACCGUGCCCUGCGGAAUAGCUCCGGGAAACUGGAAUUAAUACCGCAUACGCCCUACGGGGGAAAGAUUUAUCGGGGAUGGAUGAGCCCGCGUUGGAUUAGCUAGUUGGUGGGGUAAAGGCCUACCAAGGCGACGAUCCAUAGCUGGUCUGAGAGGAUGAUCAGCCACAUUGGGACUGAGACACGGCCCAAACUCCUACGGGAGGCAGCAGUGGGGAAUAUUGGACAAUGGGCGCAAGCCUGAUCCAGCCAUGCCGCGUGAGUGAUGAAGGCCUUAGGGUUGUAAAGCUCUUUCACCGGAGAAGAUAAUGACGGUAUCCGGAGAAGAAGCCCCGGCUAACUUCGUGCCAGCAGCCGCGGUAA